CAGUAUAACAGGCAAGAUAACAGUAAUCUGUUGUCCCAUGUUGUUGUACAUGGAGGAACGAAAUUCUCCAUCCAUGUUGUUGUACAUGGAGGAACGAAAUUCUCCAUCCAUGUUGUUGUACAUGGAGGAACGAAAUUCUCCAUCCAUUUUCAUCCAUUUUUUGUUCAUAUGAAAACAGUUUCACGUUAAUAAUUAUACGACGAGAACACCAUCAAUAUUACCUUCCUUGUAAUAAACCCUAGUCUUAAUAUCUCACAGUUGAGAAAAUAUUAGGAGAAUAACUCUCCAUAACAACGCAACAUAUUUUGCGCAUGCGCGGACGAGACUGGGAGGAAGGAGAGAGCGACAGCAGCCAUAUUGCUGAUAAGAAGCAGUGUCCAGGAGUUCACGUUAACAUCGGCCCAUAAUUGCGUCAUCCUUGCUGGAGCAGGUGCCAGGAAUCGAGAGUGACUCCGCCCACAUCAGACACUCAUCCCGGCGAGCGUAAUCUGGAGUCAUAGUGACAAGAGGAGAGAUAACCUUCAUCUCCAUGCUUGUGGCCGGAUAGCGAGUAACAACAAGCAUGAGGACGUGACUGCCCUAUACGUGUACACCUAUUUCAGCCAAACAGCUAAGCUGUCAUAUUACCAGAUGCACUCGCCCGGCGCUUCUCGAGCGCCUUGGCCUGGAUUCAUAUCCUGGCCGGGGAGGAUUGACUGGGCGCGAAUCCAUAACUACAGCCUCUGUUCAUCGAGUAGUGAAUGGGUACCUGCUUGUUAAACAUUAGCGGGUCUUAUUCCAGGGAAAAUUAGGAUUAAGGACCUGCCUGAAACGCUAUGCGGGCUAAUGGCUUUACAAGAAUGUAAGAACUCUUGUAAAUAUAUUUAUAAAAUAUAAAAAAUAAAUAAAACCAAUUUUUUUUUAAAUCAUAAAAUGCACAUUUUGUAAUCAGACGCAACUUCAGACAAAACUUCAGUGUCUACCCACGAGAAAAUUUCAAAACAAGGUUUAAGUAAACCAGAUAUAAGUGAAGUGAAAAUGUAGUAUGUGAUAGAGUCCCAGUAGUGCAGUUGGAUUCGUUCUCGUCUCACAAUCAGGAAUUACAGAAUUACGAGUUUGAAUCCCAGGCGGUACAGAAAUGAUUGGGCACGUUUCUGAUCACUUAAUGCCCCGGUUCAUGUAGCAGUAAAUAGGUACCCAGAAGUUAGCCAGCUUGUUGUGGGGGUUACAUCCUGGGGAGGGUCAGUAGUUCUAUCGUUAGGGAGACCUCGACAUAAGUCUAACUGGUAUAUACUGGUUUCCCGUUCCCCAACAGAAUGAAUUAUUAUUAUUAUUAUUAUUAUUAUUAUUAUUAUUAUUAUUAUGUGAAGAGAACAGAAGCAAGAGAGCGUUAGAAUAGAGUAGAAUAAAGCCAAUAGUGUACACAAACGUCCCGCAAAACUGUGUAAGUUACUGCCACAAAAUAUGCACCAGGAGGUGUAUACCCUGCUUCUUG